UGAAGUCCAAAAUUGAAAAAUAGCAUAAGGCUUAUGCAAAAAACAAACCCAAAAAAGACUCUUGCUUGAGAGGGAAUGUCGGAGAUAUAAUCAUUCAUGUUGCUUCCUCUUAUCAGCUUAAACUUUUGGGAUGAAUGGUUUCAAGACAAAAUGAAUAUAUAGGCCUCACACUGGUUAACAUGUAAAUUGGAUAAAUAAGAACAUAAACACAACAUUAACUCCACAACCAUAAUAAUUUUCCCAUUAACCACAAAA